rnacentral:rRNA from 1 species
CUAAGCUUGACAUCCUUUUGAUCGAUGCCUAAUCGCACCUUUCCCUUCGGGGACAGAAGUGACAGGUGGUGCAUGGUUGUCGUCAGCUCGUGUCGUGAGAUGUUGGGUUAAGUCCCGCAACGAGCGCAACCCUUGCCUUUAGUUGCCAGCAUUAAGUUGGGCACUCUAGAGGGACUGCCAGGGAUAACCUGGAGGAAGGUGGGGAUGACGUCAAAUCAUCAUGCCCCUUAUGCUUAGGGCUACACACGUGCUACAAUGGGUGGUACAGAGGGCAGCCAAGUCGUGAGGCGGAGCUAAUCCCUUAAAGCCAUUCUCAGUUCGGAUUGUAGGCUGAAACUCGCCUACAUGAAGCUGGAGUUACUAGUAAUCGCAGAUCAGAAUGCUGCGGUGAAUGCGUUCCC